rnacentral:lncRNA from 1 species
CCCAACUUAGAGCAUCUGACAGUGGGUAAAAAUGAAUUAAAGAUGAUUGUCAAUGGAGAAUUUCAGAGAAACCUUUUACACAAGUUAAAAGUUCUUACUUUGUGCUUUGAUAUUGAGUGUGAUGAAUAUCCGGAGUAUGGAUUUCUACAACAGUUGCCAAAUGUAAUGAAGCUUGUGGUGUGUGACAGUUCCUUCAAAGUCAUUUUCUGCGAUCAAAGACCUAAUAAUAGUGAAAUUCUUUUACAAUUGAAAGAAUUACGGUUGGAGUCCCUUCAAGAGUUGGUUUCCAUUGGCUUAGAAAACUCAUGGACUGAACCCUUUGUCAGAAAUCUUGAAACCUUUGAAGUCAUUAGCUGUUCCAAUUUAAAAAACUUGGUUCCAUGCAGAGUGUCUUUCUCGAAUCUGAUAUGUUUAAAAGUUGAAAAUUGCGAUAGCUUGUCAUAUUUAUUCACAUCUUCAACAGCCAAAAGUUUGGUUAAACUCCAAAGAAUGGAGAUAAAAAGGUGUGAAUCAAUUGAAGAAAUAGUGUCUAAAGAAGGGGAGGAAUCAGAUGAAGAUGAAAUAACAUUUCUGGAGCUCAAUUGUUUGAAACUUAAAUAUCUGAAAAAUCUCCGAAGGUUUUACAAAGGGAGUUUAAGUUUUCCAUUGUUAGAGGAAUUGUCAAUAAGAUGGUUCGACGAGAUGGUAAGUUUAUGUGGAGGGACUCUGGAGGCAAGUAUGUUGUCUGAAGUAAAACUUGAUUGGUCAACCACUACAUUGGAAACUGGUCUCAACUCUACUAUGAAGAAGGAAUUUCUGAAAAAGGUACGUCGUUAAUAUAUAUAUAUAUAUAUAUAUUUUUUAUUGAACAUUGUUAGGAUUAUUGUGUAUAUAAAAAAUACAGCCUCUUAUAGGCCAUUGAUUAUAUAUCUAUAGCCCAUGUUAAAAUAUACAAGACGGUUUAGGACAACAUGUUUGAAAAUUAUUAUCAUUUGUUCCUAUAACUUUUGAUUAUUACAUCCUCUGGUGGAUGUAAAUAUGAUUAUUACACUUUUUUUCCUAUAACUUCUAGUUAACACUAUGUCUAUAAUUUAAACUCAGAAAGUACUAUACUAAAAUAUUUCAAAAUAAACAAAAGAGUUCGUUAUAUAUAUAUAUAUAUAUAUAUAUAUAUAUAUAUAUAUAUAUAUAUAAUAUUUUUCAUUAAAAAUAUUAAAUGUGAAGAAGGAAAAAAAACAUUGUUUAAAAUAAUUAUAAAUUUUAUUAUUCAUAAAAGCAAUUUUUAUUUAUUUAUUUACACGUCUCAAAUAUAGCGUAAGGGUACAACAAAUUUUUAACUUUUAUGAUAACUAAAUAAAAUUAUAAAUAUCAAUUCUUAACUUGGUUUUGCAAGUCUUGGAGUCAAGAAAUGUGAAUUAGAAAACGUGAUUCAGUAGAAAAUUUCUUUUAAAUAUAGUUAAGUGAAUUUCUUUUCGUAAUAAAAAAUAAUUAAUAAUAAAAAUAGUGAGUAUUUCAAAUUUGUGUAGUACUAAUUUAAAAGAUAUCAUUAACUCUGGUAAAUAAUUAGUUUCAUAUUUUUAUUUAUUGUUUUGCACUUUCAGAUUUCAGAGCUUGACGAACUUGAUCUGGAAAGUGGGCCAAGACUACAAGAGAUAUGGAAUGGCUCACUGCAUAUCCCCGACCUCUGUUUCAGUGAGUUGGCCAAAUUGACUGUGAAUGACUGCCAGUUUUUGUCAGAUGCAGUGCUACCCUUCCAUUUACUUCCUUUAUUACCCAAAUUGGAGAUAUUGGAAGUUCGAAACUGCAACUAUGUCACAGUCAUUUUCGAUGUCAAUCCUUCAACACGAUACCCUUUAAUUACUCUUCCUCUGAAGAAAUUGGUUUUAUCGAAUCUUCCAAAUGUGGAGAAUGUUUGGAAUGAAGAUCCUCGUGGAAUUCUAAGCAUGCAACAUCUACAACAAGUGUUCGUUGAUAAAUGCAAAUGCCUUAAAACCGUGUUUCCAGCAUCAGUAGCCAGAGACCUUGUAAAACUUGAAGAUCUAGUACUGGAAGACUGUGAGGGAUUGAUGGCAAUUGUUGCAGAUGAAUCUGAUGAGAAGGAAGAAAUUAUAUUUGAGCGGCUUCAGGUUUUGGAUCUUAAAAGAUUAAAAGAACUAACGUGCUUUUACGAUGGCAACUUUACUUUAAGUUUUCCAUCCUUGAAGGAAGUCCAUGUCAUCGAGUGCAGCUCCAUGAAAACUUUCAGUGCAUUCAACAAAAUAGAUAAUCCGACAAGAUGGUAUUAUUCAGAACAUGCGAGACCCCGAAAGGAAACUGAUCUUAAUUCUGCUCUGCACAAAACUUGUGAAGAAGAGGUAUGCAUACUUUUACGUCUUAAUCUUUGUUCCUGCUAAUUUCUUAAAAGUAACUUUUGUAUAUGGUCUUAUGUUUUAAAUAGGCUCCAGAUGCUUCGAGUACAUCAAAUACUUGAGAUAGUGAAGAUAGCGGAUAAGGUACAUCAAAUAUUAACUAAUGCCACUGCAAUUGUUAAUCUUUUCUAGGGUGAGUUUUACUGUCAUCUUCUCUAUGCGCAUGCAGGUGAUGAUUAGUGAGCAAGCACUUUUUCACAACAUAACAUCAUGAUUACGUCUUAUUAUGUAAGUAACUUUUUAUUAGUUUCAUUUUACGUUUUAUUGAUAUCUAUUUAAGUGAAUAUUUCUUUGUCAUGUUAAUAGCUUGAAAUUCACUUAAUGUUACUUAUACUUCUUUAAUUAAAUUCAUAACUUUCUAUAGUAAUUCCUUUUAUAAUUCGUCGUCUAGGUUGAGUCUCUGUUGCCGACUCCAAUAUUGCAGUAAUUAAGAGGAGAUUAAAGGCGUGAAGAAUGGAUGAAGAUGAAUCUGUCUCGAUUUUAUUACGUGUGGUUGUGUUUUAAAGAAAAUGAAAAAAACGAAAAAAAAAAGUGUUAUUCUACCUAGUUGAAGAUGAAUGUGUUCCUAAUUUAUUAUGUAUGAUAGUGUUUCUUUUUCAAAAAAAAAAAAAAACUGUGUUGUUCUGUCUAGUUGAAGAUGAAAUACAUUAUUAUUUGUACUAUGUAAUGUGUGAGAUUAAAAGUGAUUGAAAGUCAUGAGUAUUGAUUAAAGACGAAGUGAUGAACUGUGUCACUAAAUAUUGACUGUAUUUGCAUAUGUGGUUAUGCUGGUUUAAAAAAACAAAUGUAUGUUUGUAUUCAUUUUCUGUUAAUUUUAUCUUUGUUAGGAAAUUAUGCACAAUUCCUCUUAAUCAGAUUUGUGAGAAAAAUAUAAAUGCAGAAUAAUGACACUCAAAAUAAAACUCUUUAGAUUUCACUGCAAAUGUAUUAAUGAUAAAAAAUAAAAUUACAAUAUCACUUUUUUUCUCUUUAUUUCUACUCUGGUUUUCUCUUUUUCUUCUCUACAUUUUUUAUUAUGUAUUCUUUCUCUUAUUUGGAUAAAAUCUCUUUUGACCAAUUUUAACAAUCUCCCACUUGAAGACUAAUUUUAAUUUGUCUUCAUAUCUUGAUCAUUAUACCACCAAUCUUCUGUAGUCUAUUAUUGUAGCAAGCCAACUGAAGUUGAACACAAUUUCAGUUUGUCAAUGGUUACCACUUUUGUUAACAUGUCUGCUGGAUUUUUACUUCCGAAAAUCUUUCUCAAUGUUAGCACCCCAUCUUCAAGCAAAGAUCUAAUGAAGUGAUAACGAACAUCAAUAUGUUCGUUAUCACUUCAAGCAAAAUUUUCAUUAUAAUUACUUAAUAGAUUUUAUAUAUUAAAAUUUAUGUUUUUAAAAUAAAAGUAACACAGUGGCACGGUAAUUAGUUAUUUAUUUUAAAUUUAAAAUAAUUUAAUUUUUUUAAACAUAAUUGUAAUAUAGCACUUAUAAUAAGUUUACUUACAUAUAUUUUCAUUGUUAUCACUAUGAGUAAUUUUAAAUUAAUAAACUUAUUUUUGGAUAUAUAAAUAUUUAAUAAAUUUAUAAUAUUAUAUUAUACUUGUCUAAAAAUAUAAAAAAUAGUAUUAUUAUUUAUUUUAUUUUUUUUGUUGAUAGUUUUGUUAGAGUAAUGUGUAUAUUAAAUUUAAUUAAUAUAAAAAGCUUAGUAAUUUGAUAAUUUUAAUUUAUACACCAUUUUUACUGUCAUUAGUACUAAUAAAUAUAUUAUAAAUAUAUUUUUAGUUAUUUUAAAGUUAUAAUUUUAAAAUAAAAAAUAUUAAUUAUUAAAGUGAGUGCUAUAGUAAAAGUUUUUAACUUGAAAUAUGUAAUUUGUUUUUCUUUAACUUUAUGGGGAUAAAAAAAAGUAAGAUUAUAUUUCAAAGGUAGAGAAGUAAUUUAAUAAUUUGUCUGAUUUACAGGUCAGUUUCGCAUACACUGAAUAUCUGUGGCUUGAUAACACUGAUCAUUUUAUUAUAAAGCAACUAUGGAAUAACACUCAUUGGGGGCAGCAAAAGAACUUUGGGUAUUUGAAAAGGUUGAGUGUAUGGUAUUGUGAUACUCUAAAGCAUAUAAUUCCAUCUCAUUUGCUUUCUUGCUUUCACAAUUUGGAAGAGUUAGAUGUAUACUAUUGCAGUAAUGCAGAGGUGAUAUUUAAUAUGAAUGAUGAGAACAGGGUGAUGACAAAACCUUCCGGAAUAUUCCGUCUGAAAACAUUGUAUUUAGAUAAUAUACCAAAACUGAAGCAUAUAUGGGACAAGGAUCCGAAGGGAAUUAUUGACCUUAAUGCGCUAGAGGUAAUGCGUGUUGAAAAUUGUAGGAGUCUUACAACUUUGUUUCCAGCGUCGGUGGCCAAAGAUCUUAACAGACUUGAGGUGUUUAAAGUAAUAAAGUGUGAUGAAUUGGAAGAGAUAUUUAGGAGUGGAGAAGAAGAAGGAUCAAUCCAAGAGUCUGUUUUUCAUCAACUCACCACAUUGACGCUACAACAAUUGCCACGCCUCAAAUAUUCUAUCCACCGCUCCAAACAACAGGCAAUUCUCACACUUUUUACUUUAUCUAUUCUUACUCUUAUUAUUUCUAUUUUAUAAAAUAUAAAUUUCUUCCUAUUAACAACAAAAAAUUUGCUCUCCAUGCUUUGUCAGUCGAGAAUGGUAAUCGGUGUUGUUUUCCAAGGAGACAUCCUUCGCACGAUUCAUUAUUUUCCUUCAAGAAUGGAAGAUCUCUCAUCAUGUUUUUCUGAUAUAGAAGCUUUAAGGCAUGUCUGUUGAAGUGGCCAAAUCUCCUAUGCCAAAGCCAUGAGCAUCAACUUCUACCUUCAUGGCAAUAUUAGUUCCAGGUUUGAAGCUUAUAGGAAAGCUUCUAUUUCUCUUCUCCAUUUUUACUUGGCCAAUUUCUAUCAUUUUACUAUCAUAAAUUUUGCAUGUAUCUUUCUCAAAAUGAAGAGAAUAUCCAUUNUCCAUCAUUUGGCCAAUACUUAAAAGAUUNUCUUUAAGAUUAGGAACUAGUAAAACAUCCUUGAUGAAUUUCGUACCUUUCUUUGUUUCCACCAUGACAGUUCCUUUGCCUCGAGACUCCACUGUUGUGCCAUUUCCUAGCCGAACUUUGACAUUGACAGAUUUAUCAAUGUCUUUGAAGAUGCUUUGAUCUUUCGCCAUGUGAUUGCUACAUCCACUAUCCAAGUACCAACUUCCUUCUCCACNAGGNGAUUCUUGAUUGGCGUAGAAUAAGAGUUUCUCCUGAUUAUCUUCUUCUGCAAAGUUUGCUUGAUGCUUAUUUUUAUUACGACAAUACUUUUCUAUGUGACCAAAUUUCUUGCAAUAGUGGCAUUGAGGUUUUCCAUGAUGCCAACAAUCCUUUUUCAAGUGAUUUGUCUUUUUACAGAUGCCACAUGGAGGAUAUAUUUUCCUUGAUGAGUCAUAGAGAAGCUUCUAGAAUUUUCUUUAUUUCUAGAAAUUUCUCCUUUACUUUUAUUUCUUUCACAUUCUUUCUGAGACUACAAUUUUAGUUUUGAUUGAAAGGCAUUUUCAACUGAGUCUUCUUCAUGCCUUUUCAAUCUUUGUUCAUAAGCUUCAAGAGAGCCCAUUAGUUGUGUUACUGACAAUGUAGUCAAAUCUUUUGUUUGUUCAAUCGCAGUUGCGAUUGCAUCAUAUUUUUGGGGAAUUGAAAUUAAAAUUUUCUCAACGAUCUUUUUGUCAAGAAUAUUUUCCCCAUAGGCUCUCAUCUGACUAACUAUUUCUUUUAUUCUAGAAUAGUAGUCUUUGAUGGUCCCAGAUGCUUUCAUUCUUAAUAAUUCAAACUCUCGUCUUAGAGAAUGAAGUUUAACAUUGCGUACCUCGUCACUUCUUUGAAACUCCUCUUGUAUUGUGUUCCAAGCUUGUUUUGCACUUGUGGCACCAAUUAUCUUUGGAAAAAUUGUGUCAUCAACUGCUUGUUGAAGAANAAAUAAAGCCCUUGAAUCCUUCUGUUUGUUUUCCUUCAACUCCUUCUUUUGAGCUGUAGUAAGAGUGGAGGUGUCUUCUGGAAUAAUGAAUCCUUCUUCUGUGAUGUCCCAUAUAUCUUGAGAGCGGAAGAAUGUCUUCAUUUUGACACUCCAGAAAUCAUAAUUUUCUCCUGUGAAAAUAGGUACUGGAAGUGAUGAUGUUUGAUUGGUAGUAGCCAUGAAUUGAGAAAAUAUUUUGGAGGCAGUACAAAAUGGGGUUAUAGUUUUGUUUAAGGUAGUUGAAAAUUUUAUCUACGCCUAGUAGAUGACCGAACGUAGCUCUGGUACCACUGUUAGUAUUUACAGGUUGUGAAAGGAGUAGUUGAUAAAGUAGAGAAAAUGUGGAGAUAGUGGGAUGUAGAAGUAGUAGUUGGAAGAAGUGUUGUAGUUGUCUUAGUUGUUAUAGAUGUUGGCUUCUUGUCUACAUACAUCAAAUUGUAGAGUUCAUGGGUAUUUAUAGACCCAUAGAAUAUUCUAGAACAUGCUAGUCACAACUUAUGUGGAAUGUUCUAGAUUUUUACCUAUGUAGAAUAUUCUUGAUUUUUCUUCCUAUCUUAGACUUUUCUACAAUAUUCUAGAACUUGUGUUACAUUUCUUUUCUUCUAUCCUAGGAGUUUCUACAUUAUUCUAGAAUUUGCAUUACACUUUAAUAGUACGAAAUACUGUGAAAAUUAAAAUAUGAAACUUUACUUAAAAAUCUUUUAUCUUCUUUUCCUAUUAAUCUUUUUUUUUCUUUAUAUCAUUGUUAUCAGAACAUGUAGGAUCGAAAGUAUGUUAAAAGUGUAACCAUUGUCGCAGAGUCUAUACAUCGAUUGGGAUGUUUCAGUAAUUGAAUAGUAACUUCUUAAUUGAAGUCUACAACGAAACAAGUUAAAAUGGCUAUUCAAAAUUAAAUUUGACAGAAGCUUAUUCGAAAACGUAAGUGCAAAAGAAGGUACUUAUUAUAUUAUUAUAUGAAAAAAAUUAAAUAUGAUGUACUAGAUUAGUUAUAAUUUGUAUAUUAUGUUCAUUAAAAAAUUAAAACAAUAAUAUUUUACUAAAAUUGGUCUCACUGUAAUUGAGUCAUUAUUAAACCUUAAACCUGGUUUUCACUAAUUUAAUGAAUUUGUCUAGUUCCAUAGCAUCAUUGAUUUAUUAUAUAAAUAAGUAAAAAAAUAUGUUGGUAUGGGAAAAUAGUGUAAGAAAACGGGGACAGAAGGGGUUAUCCUGAGCCCCGAACACAUAGCCAAAAACGCCUGAACUGAAUCCAUGCAUUCGGAUGAAGCUGCAUAGGAGUAGCAUUCAGCUCGCAUAGGACGACCGACUGGAACGCCAUAAAAGGUACCCGAACAAAGAGCUGGUUGAAAAGAUUGGUGUACGAUAGGGUAACCGGACAUAUUGGAGUGAUCGGUCACACCGGCAGUAUGAUCGGUCAUACCGGCAAUGUGAUCGAGUUCCCUAGUGCGGUAAAAGAGGGCGGCGUUAGCAAUGAAAGAGGUAGAACAGCUGCGAAGAUCGGUCGCGCCGACGGGAUGGUCGGGACAGCCGACAGUAUGAUCGGGGAAUGAGAAAGGAGUCUACCAUAGCAGAAGAAGUGAUGCAAUGCUGAAAUGUAGGGAUGUGAGCACAAAUUAGGGCGAAAGUCCCGCCGAAAUAGCAGGGCACGUGAUCAGCAGUCGCGUUGUGGGGCGAGUUCCAUGGGAUCAUGGACCUCUGAACACGGACAGUUGCAGGAAAAUCUCAUGGAUCAUGGGCCACUAUGCAGGCAGUUAUAGCCCAUAUCUUACAGUCCAUAUCCAAAUUUAUCACCUAUAAAUAGGAGAGUAAGUAGUCAGGUAAAGGGUUGGAUUUUUAUUCAUUACUUUGAUAAUAUAGCGGUAGCCUUGCUGACUUGAUCGUCGGAGUGCUAACUUGCAGGUUGCAACCGUUCGGAUAAAGAGAGAUAAGAAUCCUGAAACACUCAGUUAAAGAAGUCCAGCGUGUCAUCGUAAUCCAUAGGUGAUCGGUGUCUUGGUUCCCAUCCAAAACAAUUGGCAUACAUGGAAAAUAAGUCAUUAAGACUUGACUCUUUUCCAUGGAAAAUAAGUUAUCAAGACUUGACUCUUUUUCAUGGAAAACGUACAUACUCACGUCGUGUGGCGCCUAGUCAUACCCUCGGAUGAUAGGUAAACUACCGACCGGUACUAGAGGAACAUCGUGAGCAGGAAUGCCCUCCUUGAGUAAGUGGAUGGGUAUCCCGUACACAACCCUUUCACCUCCAAACACAGGAGAAUGCGGCCCUGAAUCCUCUUCCUCAUUAUUUACAAGAGACAGAGGCCGCCUUGAGUCUGAAUCCCAGUUGGACCUCUUGAGAUAUGAUGACGACAAUGAACCGGGAGACCAGGGCUGACCGUCGUCACCCCCCGCUGUGUCGUCGCUCUUUUGCUCAACAACUCCAAAGAAGACUCAAUGUUAACAACUACCAUUUAUUACUUGAGGCAAAAAGAAUGUUGUGAAACUGGAAACGAGAGAAGAAGUGAGAAAAGAUGAAAAUGACAGCGACCCACACUCCUAUUUAUAGAAAAAUUUUGAAAACCGUCAAGCAUCGCCACCAUUAAAGAUCGCCACGACUAACGACCCAGAUUCGAAAAUGUUUCAAUUGCCUUGAGUAAGCGAUCACCCGACAUGUGUUUUUCCCGCCCAAACCCCAUUCCAAUAUAGUCGGGCAAUGACGAAGUCAUUAAUGAAGUCGUCAUAGAACCAGAGAUAGCUUAAAACCCUACAUCAACUAUGUUGCUUAGGGUUUGGGGUACUUGUGUACGAGAUGGGUCGGGCAGCCACAAGAUCAUCUUGAUUUGUGCGUCUCACAUGCUAACUUUUGAGUCGUCCCAAUUUUAGAAGGGUCAGACGACCAUAGAACCGCCUCGUAAAGACCCUUGACCGGACAACCUAAGACAAAUGAUUGGUCAGAACCAGCGGUAAUCAUGUUUACAAAAGGUUUAAGGUAAGAAGUGAUUAAAGCCAUUGGGCCGAAAUUGGACCGUGAUUAAGAUUUCGCUAAUCCCAGGUCCAUGGUGAAAACUAUAAAUACAUGUCACAGGUAAGAAGUAGGUGGUUCACAUUUACUACGCAUUUAUUACUGAUCCAAUAUCUACGAAUGAAUUGUUUACUGACUUAAACAUCGGAGAACCUUUCAUGGAUGCACCUCUAGGCAGGAGAGCGAAUAAGGAGACCAAAGAACGAGAUCGGACGACAUUGAAGGAUAAAUUGUGGAGGUGUUUGAAUUGAUUCGACUUUGCAACCGAAACAAUUUCUAUUAUUGAAAACAAUUACUUUUUUGGAAAUAUACAAACACAAGAAACUCAUAACAAUGUAAAACCGCAACCCCUCUCCUCUCUUCAUUUUUAUUCUUCUGGAUGUGUGCUCUCUGCUUUUCUCCUGCACCGUGUGUGCUAUCACCACUUACAUUUUCCGUGGCUCUUCCUCUCUAGAUUUAUAAUAAUCAACCAUCACACUCAAAAUCACAGAUUACUACGAACAUAAUUAUAAUACCACCACAAUCAAGUCCAAACACCACUUUCUUGGAAGGAGUAAAAGUAGCUCCAUGAUAGGAAAACAACCCUACUCCUGUCCACAUCUUUUGUUAAAAAGUGUGGGGCCAUUUAUAGUUUAUUCUACAGUAUUUUCUGUCAUCCACCAAAUGUCAGUGUCUUUGGAUUAUGACCCUGAUAAUAGAUCUACACCAAACAAAAAUGGUAAACAUAUAUAGUCACUACCCAUAAAGUAAAAAAUAAACUUCCUCAUAACAUGAAAAACAUAGCCGCUACCGAUGCAGAAGAAACUACCCAUCCCAUAACAUAUCUAAUUCACAUGACCCACCCACAUAUACACCAUUGAUUAGAUUAGUGGAGACACCACAUGUACUCUCUGCUUGAAGCAAAUAUUUUUUAUAAUACUUUUGACAAAAAUGCACUGUUUUUAUAAGUAUAUUACCUAAUCGUCAAGUGAUGAUUGUAGUGUCAAAGAAUCAUUUUCUUUUAUAUAAACGAGAUGUUAUCAUGACAAAACAGAGUUGAUAUCAUUCAGCAUGUGCCUUACACUUUGCUGCAAGUGUCGUAUUUUCUUGUAGCAUCACGUAGUUAAUUUGUCUCAGAUUAUUACUUUUCAGGAAUCUUUGAGCAUGCAAGGUUAUUUAUGUCUUGUGUAUAAAAGAGAUGGAUUGCUAAUUGCCAUAACCUGCUUUUGCUUGUGUUUUUUCUCAGUUAAAGUGGUUGUCACUGGGGAAUAAUGGAGUAGAGAUGAUUUUGCAUGGAGAAUUUCGGAGAAACUUCUUAGACAACUUAAAAGUUCAUACUCUCUGCUUGAUUAUUGAUGCAUUUGGGUAUGAAAUUCUAAAACAGGUUCCCAAUAUAGAGAAGCUUGUGGACUUCAUUUACGAUUAUAGUGGACUUCAUUUACGAUUGAAAGAAUUACGCUUGGAGUCCCUUCAGGAGUUGGUUUCCCUUGGGUUAGAGAACUCUUCGACUGAGCCCUUUAUCAGAAAUCUCGAAACCUUUGAAGUGAUCAGCUGUUCCAAUUUAAAAAACUUGGUAACAUGCAGAGUGUCUUUCUCGAAUCUGAUAUGUUUAAAAGUUGAAAAUUGCGAUAGCUUGUCAUAUUUGUUCACAUCUUCAACCGCCAAAAGUUUGGCUAAACUCCAAAGAAUGGAUAUAGAAAAUUGUAAAUCAAUUGAAGAAAUAGUGUCUAAAGAAGGGGAAGAAUCAGACGAGGAUGAAAUAAUAUUUCCGAAGCUCAAUUGUUUGAGUCUUAAAUAUCUGGAAAAUCUCCGAAGGUUUUACAAAGGGAGUUUAAGUUUUCCGUUGUUGGAGGAAUUAUCAAUAACAGAGUGCGACGACAUGGUAAGUUUAUGUCCAGGUACCCUGGAAGCAAGUAAGUUGUCUGAAGUAAAACUUGAAUGGUCAAACACUGCAUUGGAAAUUGAUCUUAGCUCUACUCUGUGGAAGGAAUUUAUGAGCAAGGUACGUGUUUAUUUAUUCAACAUUCUGGUAGAAAUGAGGGACAUAAAAUUUUAAUAAAGGUUUAAUCAAGUGUAUCUACCUUUCCUUUAGACCUUUUAUUUGAAAAAACAAUGUACAAAAUGCGUCUUGCAAAACAUUCAACUCACAAAUGAAAUAUUUUCUUAUCUAUGAAUUCUCUCUCCCCGGUUAGUUUUAUACCUAAAUGUAAAGUAUUUAAACGUCGAGUUUUCUUUAUAUAUUUAACAUUCUUAAAAUUAAUUGGAUGUUAUCUUUGAUAUAUAAAAGAAUGCAUUCCUUAUCAAAACUGCUUUGGAUGACCAAGUCCGAUGGUUACUUAUUAUGGAAAUUAUGUAUAGUACUUGCUAGCAGUUAUCUGCAAAAGAAAAGCAACUUUUUUAAUUAGGAUAGGUCAAUAUUGAUAUUAUAAAUUUAUGACUUUACCUAUAGUGCCUCGUCGUCAAACUUGUUACAAAGAAAAUAAUAUAUGUUUCAUGUUAAAAAAUUUGCAGAGAAGUUUAUGCAGAUAAAUUCUAAUAACUCCCAAAAAUAAAUACUAUGUUUAAUUAUUUUUGUUUUCUUAAAUAAGGUAAAAAAAUCACUAAUAAGGUUUCGAUUAUUGUGAUGUUAUUAAAAUGUUUUAGAGAAAUUAUACUUCUACCAUUCUUAGUUAUACAAAUGUUUUAGAGAAAUUAGUCUAAGUACAAUUUAGAAACAAUUUUUUGAUAACCAAAAUCUUGACAAUUAAUGUUAGUGACCAAUUUAUUAUAGUGACCAAUUUAGAAACUAUUUCAAUUAUUAAUAAUUUUUAAUUUAUAAAUUGAUAUCUAAGUUAUUUACUAUAAUGACUAAUUUUUUUUGUGACUAAAAUUAGUUAUUAUUUGGAGAUUUUCUUGUGCAGUGUAUGAUAUAAAAGAUAAAAGUUGAAAACUUAAAUAAUUUAACUAGCAUUUAUAUAUCUUAAAAUCUUGUUAAAUAAACUUGUGUUUUCUUUAAUUUUAAAUUGUGUUAUAUUUUUAUUCUAAAGAGGAAAUGAGAAGUUUUUCGAUAUAAUAUAUCUCAUGCAUGUCUAAAAUACAAAAGUUUAACAACAAUUACUUGUUAUUAUUGCCACUAUAUCUUAUUUAGGAAAAUAUUAAAAACGAUCUAUCAUUAUCUAAUGUAAAAAAUAAAAAUAAUAAAGUCAUAUCUUAUAUAAAUGUUAAAAGAUAACGUAUUAAAUGUUUUAAGAAAAAAAAAUAAUUUAAGAAUCUAAAACCAACAUAAAAAAAGGUUAAUUCUAAUAACAUUUAAAAAGUUCUACAAUUUGAAAAGAAAAGACAUUAAAAUUGAUCAUUGCAUUUCUGAAAAAUUAGUUAUAAUUGGUGGUUUCUAGCAAAAGUAUAUUAAAAAAAUCUGAAUUAUUGUUAUCCAUGUAAAAGAUUAAUUUCAUAUUUUUAUUUAUUGGUUGAUUUGUGCUGAUUUCGCAAGAUUGGAAGGAGAUCCAGUGUUGAGUUCAAAGAUAGGUCAGACCUAAACGAGAUAUGGCGUCUUUCACGGCAAAUGAACGACUUCUGUUUCAGUAACUUGAAAACCUUGGUUGUGGAUGGGUGCCAACUUUUAUCAUAUGUAAUCCCCUUCCAUGUGCUUCCUUUGUUACCUCAAUUGCAAACAUUGGAAGUUCGAAACUGUGAUUCUGUUAAAACCAUAUUUGAUGUCAAAUCUUCACAAGAUACAUUCACUUUUCCUAUGAAGAAAUUAGUUUUAUUGAAGCUGCCAAAUCUUGAAACUGAUUGGAAUGAAGAUCCUGCUGAAAUUGUUACAGAGCCUAAUCCAGCUCAUCCAGAACAAACAAAUCCUAAGGUUACAUUCCCCUGUGAUUUGCCCAAGUUCAAGCAUAUUCGUAUACAUUGCAUUCAUGAUCCAACAGCAUAAUAGUACAUAUAUUCUUGUACUUCCAUUGAAAUUAUCAUGCAUCAAAUAUUGCUUAAAUCUCCUACCAAUCAUCGAAAGUCUCUCAUCUCAUUUAUCAAAUUUUUCAUCUAAAAUUUUAAACUCGAAAUUGUUGCAAGUGCAUACGGUAUGGCCUUAUUAACAGCUACCCGGCCUGGCUUGUUCAUCUUUUUUAGAGUUUUUAAAAUAAACGUUUUUUCUUUCAAAUUGACUAGUUCACACCUAUUUUUAUUUUAUAUUGAUUUGUUUAGUUUUUUUUUUACUAAUUAUCAGACUUAUUUUAGCAUAAAAAUUUACGGUUUCAAUUUUAUAUAGAGAGACGAAUAUAUAUGACUGUGCUAACUGCUUUCACUUCGUUAUUGGUUUUUCUUUGUAGAUAAUUACAUCGAACUUAGAACAUCUGACCGUGAGUGAAAAUGAAUUGAAGAUGAUUGUCGAUGGGAAAUUUCAGAGAAACCUUUUAAACAAGCUAAAAGUUCUCGGUCUGUGCUUUGAUAAGAAGUGUGAUGAAUAUCCGGAGAAUGGGUUUCUACAAGAGUUGCCAAAUGUAAUGAAGCUUGUGGUGUGUGGCAGUUCCUUCAAAGUGAUUUUCUGCUAUCAAAGACCGAAUAAUAGUGAAAUGCUUUUACAAUUAAAAGAAUUACGUUUGGAGUCCCUUCAAGAGUUGGUUUCCAUUGGCUUAGAAAACUCAUGGACUGAACCCUUUGUCAGAAAUCUAGAAACCUUUGAAGUCAUUGCGUGUUCCAAUUUAAAAAACUUGGUAACAUGCAGAGUGUCUUUUUCAAAUCUGAUAUGUUUAA